CCAUACAGCGCGUGUAAAACGCGAGAAUACCCCUCCACGUGCGAUCCCUCGUAAAACGGUACAUAAAAUAUUGCGACUUUUGCGAAAAUACCGUUUUUGCCACUACCGACCUCUCCUCGAACAACGCGCGAUUUCCGCAGAUCCGUCCGUCAGAUUUGCGAACGGAUUGCACCAGUGCGAUCAGCACGACGGAGACAACAAAGCUACGAUUUUGGUUCACCUCGAUCGACCACGGAUUCGCGACGAAAUCCAACCUUCUUCCAAUAGGAGGAAUAACACACAAAUACAUAUAAAACAUGUAUUUUUGGAUUUUCUCGAAAUCCGUGCGUCGAACUCAAAAUCCGUCAGUGCCACUAGUUCCAGAACAGCUGAACCGGUCGAAACGAGCUAUUGGACUGAUAUGAACGGAGUCUGAUACGCACCAGAAGCCAACUCUACUCCGUGGCUUCUCCGGAAAACCGGAGUUACUAUUCACUUAAGUGAAAACUAAUAAUCGCGUAACUUCUCCGUUUUAGCUCAUUUUCUCCUGAAACUUGACGAGUGCUUAUGUAAUUAAAUUACACACAUAAACAUCGUCAACAGAGAGUUUAGUUGCACUGUCAAAAAAUCUCAGUCCUUACAUCAUCCCCCCCUUAAAAGAAGUUUCGUCCUCGAAACUUGACCACGUACCCACCGUAAUCGAACUCUGACAUUGCCCCACCGACACGGUAACACCUUUGGAUACUGGUCAAUCACAAAUCUAGAAUUGGACAGAUCAACCUUAGAAAAGGGGAGAAUAGGACUGCGGUUCCACAAGAACAAGACGAGGGGAACGUACCAAACCAAAGUCUGCGGACCAUAACACACCGGGAUCAACACCAUCCUGUAACCUUGGUCCGAAAAGCCUCAACCGACUCGACCACGUCACUAAGUUCACGAGAAAGAAUCACGAGCCAACACCACCAAACCGGAGUCAAAAAAAUUUCGACUAGCCAACAAUAUCAACUUGCUCACCACGAGCGAAGACGAAACGUUCUCCUAAAACUCGAGUCGGUAGAAACAGAAUCUGAGACUACAGUCUCCCACUAACCGAUCACGCAACUGCCGAAGUCAAGUCCACAUCCACGGAAAGCCGCCUUUGACAUUCGACAGUCUUAGGUCCCACAACCUCACCUUUCACCUGACCGAAAAGGUCGAAGGCUGACAAAACUAAUUGAGCUUGACAAACCGCUUGCUCAAUUAGAACUGGUUCGACUAAACCAAUAAACUCGCCAUGCAAGUCCAAAACUUGGUGCACAGGAUUGCAAAUCGCACUAUACGAUACAAACCAUCGGUGAUGCUCAACACCUGUCUCUACGAGACCCUGUCGCUGCCGUCCUACAAGGGACCCUAGCGAUCGGUGUUUCGAGCAACACCAGAUAACUGUCUCAUUGAGAUCCUGGCGCACCUGUCACCAAUUAACCGGACAAGCAUACAAUUCUAAAGUCGCACAGUAGGCUGAAAUACAAUCCUUACACCAUAUCACCUACUGUGACAAUCAAAGCCAACAACUAGGCUCAAGUCACUCAACCAACAAUUUUGAACCUCAAGACAACAGACCGAAACUACUAACCAACAAACCUUUUUGCGGUGAUGAUAAAUCAACUGCGCAAACCUGCCAAGAGAAUACAAGGCCCCACUAUGUGGUCAAAGAUGACCGAUACCCAAUCAUCCUUACAAGACUAUUUCUCUAGCUUUCACACAAAACAGUCUAGAGAACACAUCGACCCAAUCCAUAAGUCCCAAAUGGGAAGAUGGUAUUUCGUUCCUCUUUCGACAGUAUAUUGUCUGCAGCCAAUAUACUUAUCAAAAGAAAAGCGAAAUAUCCGAAGAUCCACUACCAACAACCAGUUGGAAGUACAACGCGAUAAAGUAUCAAGCCACUUGAUACCUCUCUACUGAACCAGAAGUUCACAACCAAUACUAUCGAAACAUCAACUUUACAAGUCGACAUUCAAAAUUAGAACGACCCUGGAACAUCUUAAAUCUAGACCAACUACAACCAACCCACAACACACCAAUUUGGGUGUUAGAAUAACCGCAUACGAUGUAUGCCUUAACGAAAACAUGACACCAAAACUGUGUCAAUCCGAUUCUAGUAGGAAGAAAGAACGAGUUCAAGGUCAAAAGAUCCGAACCGCUGAUUCGAAUCAACAAUCAAGGAGGAUAGGUAGGCAUCACAACCCUACCCAAAAAAUCUGCGGAAGCAACACUAACAAUGCAGUCGCCUAAACGACCGCUACCAAACCCUGGGCUACACCCUAGUAGCCCCACUGAAGUCGCGACCGUAACUGGUCUAAGCACCGUCUCCGUGGAGACACUCGCAACAGCUCUCGUGUCCUAAGUAAAGAGAGUGGCCUGGGCGUCGGCAGUCAUGACACUCGCCUAGGCCCAGAGAUCACUGGCCUUUCAAGGCCCCACCUGAUAGGAAUGGCUACACCUGGGGGACGUCGCCCCACCACUCGAUGUCCGAAAAAGUACCCCGCCACUACACCCGACUUAGACACCAGCUUGUGCGAACCGUAACACGUACAUAAACACCAUGCACUUCGAGUUUACCAAACUCGAAUGCAACCCAGGACGCAAGUCCAAACCCCGCACUCACGUGCCUAUAUACCGUGGUCUUCCUAUUGGUCAACCUAACCAAUGGUUCAGUUUCAUUUACUUUUCAAAACAACCUGUGAAUGGUGUUGUGGUUGUAACCCUUUGCUCUGAUACCAUUUUAAUCUGUCACGCCCCGGGGUCCCCUUUUUGUUUGAAAUACAGCGGAAAAGCGUUUGAAAAUUUUUUUUGAAAACCUGACCCCAGAGUAUGCCAGAUCCGCCACAAAUACAGGGAAUCCACUGUUCACACGGACAGAGUCUCCCCUGUACUUGCACGGCGUCACACAAGUACAGAAGUACAAACAGUAUACAACCACAAUCAAAUGAAUAUACAGAUAGCUAUACAUUCAUACAUUCUCCAUUCACAUCACAGUGUUACAUUCGAGGUUUAAAGAGAAAUCUACAAAAACCUUUUGAAAGCUGUUUCCUACACAGAAACCUUUAUUCUUUUAAAAACGCUACCACGAGGGGUAGAAAAUCUUUUAUUUUACAAAAUCCAGAAAUCCACCUUUUCAAAUGUAAAUGAUUACUGAACCACAUAAACCAACUAAACUAUAUAUCAACAGAAAUACCGAGGAUAAUAACUAAAUCGAAAUAACCUGGGUCGGAAGCUCUAUCGACCGCUACACACGUACCUCACGUCUCGUCCCACUACUCAUCGCCCGCGAUACCUGAAAAAUGGUGGGGGAGGUGAGAACAUGUAAACAUGUCUCCCCUCCCAGUGGGUACCGCAAGCCGAAGAAGGCGAGGAGUACUCACCGGAUCAGGAAGAGAUGACCAACAGUAUGGGUAAGUAAAAUGCUGUAGCAACGAUAAUGAACGAAUGAGAUAUAUAUAUAUAUGAAAACAUAACUACCGCUACUGUAUGUACAACUGCAAGCAUACAAGGAUAUCAAUACUAUAGUAGCAAGACAACUGUAAAGAAAGAACUAGAAGUACAUAUGCAACAACCGCUACUAUAGCUAUAUGCGUCAACCGGACGAGAAGUCCAAAAGUACCCAAUCUAAACCGCCGUGUCGGUCUAAGGACCUCAGGCAAAAGCCACUAUCUGCUCACACCUGGCAUGUAACCCUAGCACAAAGAGAACACCGCUGGGCUCACGGGUCGGAUGUACGACCACUUUUCCGGAAAAGAACACCCUCCUGCGGGGGAUCAACCCGCUGGUGUACGUGAAAUGCACUCGAGCUGUGGCGAUCAAUGCGGAUAUGAUCAAUAGCCAACCGUCGGCAAUCAGCCGACAAUCACUGCCCCUCUGGGCAUACCGACCGUGUAGGUCAUCAAGCUAUAAAGAAGCACAAGAACUGACCACUCAGGUCAACUAGGAUGGAACGACUCUACAUCCUCUCAAGUGUAUGCAAGUACUGACUAAUCAAGUCAACUGGGAUGGAACGACUCAACAUCCUACCAAAAGUGUGUCGAUACUGAUCAAUAAGUCAACUACUGUAUAUAUGCAAGGAUCAAUCAACAAGUCAUAUGAGUAUAUAAUCUAGAACUACCAUCGGCCAUAACCCGACAAUCCUACCCCUCAGGGUAUACCGACCUCAAAGGUCAUCAAGCAACAAGAAUCCAGAACGGACAGACUAGGUCACAAAAGGUCAAAUGACGGAUCUGUGAAGACUAUAGUCAUCCGUCGACAACUAGUCGACAAUCCCACCCCUCAGGGUAUACCGACCGUAUAGGUCAUCGAACAACAGGAAUCAAGGAACUGAUCAAGUAGGUCACCAUUACGGAAUACCAGAAUCGACCGACUAGGUCACUAACAUCACAGAUGGUCACGGAACCGCUCUACUAUAAACAUGAUAUAAGAUAUGUAGAACCAGCUAGUAGAGCAACAAGAGAACAUGAUAUCAAACACAGAUAGACUACACUCCUACACAUGAUACUAAGCAUGGAAACAUCUGAAUAUAGUAUAAUUAAACAACGUGGAAGCUAGGCUCAACAUAUAGUAUAAGCAUAGAGACAAUAGUAAGAGGGCAAGGGUAAGAAACCAUCACCGAACGUGCACCACUGUACCGACGUCGGAUCGAAGUACCCACCUGUACAACUGUCGCGCAUGUCUCCUGACUGCAAAGGAACGUCAUCCGGACCUAAGGAGGGUUCACUGGGUUAGUGUCUAACCCACAGCUAAGAAACCGUAAAAGCAUAACCCACAAACAAACCCACGGAGAUCGGUUUUCCCAAAACCAAAUACCGUAACUCGCCGGAAGUCCCAAAAAUCACACCGGGACUCCGCCGGGACCCACUAACUGUCCCGAAAGGCACCGACUCAUGUCACGAGUCAUUCGCUGCCACUAAACACUUAUUUUAGUGUGACAUGGCAGCAAACACAAGGAUACACAACCAAACAACUAUUGGUGGGUAAUUGUUGGGAUCCGGGUUCCCGGAAGUGUCUAUUUCGACACCGAAACCCACCGUCGCCCAUCCGUCAUUUCUGAACUCUUGAAAUGACGCGAGUGACCAGCCAAUAAGGCUCAGCGACUACACAAUAGCUCACGAAGCACCGUCGGAAUAAUUCCGAACCAAAACCGCGUUCCGUAGGCAGAUUUUGCCGACAAACGCACCCGAAAAUACAUUUUCGGUCUUCGCAAAGGUCCGGGGCCUUGGACAAUCAGUCCAGAGGUCACCCCCAGCUCACCCAUGCUGCCAACAACAGCCACGACAAAUCACAUUGCAUAAAAGCCCUUUCGAUUCCAAGGAAUCACAUUAUUUCAUGUGUUUUUCGGGCUUUUAUGGUCCGUCUACGCAAACCAGAGGUCAAUCAGCCGAGCUAAGAUACCUAUUUACAGGUUUCGACGUGCCGGAGGCCGUGCUCACCUUUCGGAGCACUGCCGACCACAAGGGAAAGCGCACAAGCAGUGUGAACUUCAGCAAAACAGCGCGCACUGUCACUUAGUCGCGUCAAACACGCAAACCGGGGAACCGUUGACCCCGACGGAGGUGAGCACGAUGUUCAGCACGAAGUAAGGAUCAUCGUGCUCACUUCCCGGAUUAUCGGAGUGUCCUCAGAUCACCAGAAAGGUGACAGGAACUCUAAACUACAGUGCUGUCAACGUAAACAGUGCUUACCGGACCAGUGGGAGCUAGGGCUCGUCGCCGGCGAUCGGGCGGCGGGCACUCCGGCCAGUGAUGGAAGCAGCAGGUCGGGGAGGUCCGGGGAAGGUGCUGGCCGGCGGCGGGAGGUGGCCGGUGGCGCGGCAGCGCAGCUCAAAGCCGCCGAGUUCCUCUCGGGUUCGAGUUUCCCGGCGGCGCGGCGGCGGCCGGAGGGGGUCGGGGCUGCAAGGAUCCGGUGCCGGAGACCGAGGGGAAGGUGGUGUACCCCUCGGUGGGCUGUGGCGGUGCUUGGGAGCCGAGCGGGCCCGACCUCGGCCCGCCCGGGUCUGGGCGGCUACAAGAGCCUCGGGCGGCGGCCGGCGGUGGUCGAGGGUGGCCGGGGACGCGCGCCGGAGGUAGUCGGAGGGUGAGGAAAGACGGCGCGGCCGAUCUGGAGUGGCGGCGGCGCGUGGCCCUCGAGCCCACCCGAGCUCGGUCUGGGCUGACCGAGGUGGCCGCAGGGAGCAGAGGCGGCGCCGGCGGCGCACGGGAGCGGCAGGGGCCGGCUGCGGUGGUCGCCGGACGGUCGGCGGAGACCUCCGCGGCCGUCGGGAAGCGACGGCAGGGCUAGGGGGCGGCGCGGCUCCAAGGUUGGCCCGGCUCGGACUGGGCUGACCCGGGCUGGCCGUAGCUCCCCCCAGGCGGCUCCGGCGGCGCGCGCGGGCGGCGACGGCCGGCGGGGAGGCUCGUCAGGGGACAGGGGCAACACCAGCGAUGGCCUGGAGGCAAGGCAGCCUCGGCCUGGCUCCAACCCGAGAGAGGGAGAGAGAGAGAGAGAGAGAGAGAGAGGCAGAAAAAGGUUCCGGCGGCGGCUGGCCGGCCGGGGCUCAGUCGGCGGCGGCCUGGGCGUGCGCAACAGGGCAGGGAAGAGGGAUGAAUGUGGCAGGGGGGCUAGGGUUAGGGUUUCUAGUAGCAAACCCUAAAACACCUUUGUAUACCUAGCUCCAAAAUGCGGAAAAGCCCCUCGAACUUCAGUAUUUGGUACUAAGUCCCAUACAGCGCGUGUAAAACGCGAGAAUACCCCUCCACGUGCGAUCCCUCGUAAAACGGUACAUAAAAUAUUGCGACUUUUGCGAAAAUACCGUUUUUGCCACUACCGACCUCUCCUCGAACAACGCGCGAUUUCCGCAGAUCCGUCCGUCAGAUUUGCGAACGGAUUGCACCAGUGCGAUCAGCACGACGGAGACAACAAAGCUACGAUUUUGGUUCACCUCGAUCGACCACGGAUUCGCGACGAAAUCCAACCUUCUUCCAAUAGGAGGAAUAACACACAAAUACAUAUAAA
rnacentral:lncRNA from 1 species